AGAGUUUGAUCCUGGCUCAGAUUGAACGCUGGCGGCAGGCCUAACACAUGCAAGUCGAGCGGUAACAGGAGAGCUUGCUCUCGCUGACGAGCGGCGGACGGGUGAGUAACGCGUAGGAAUCUACCUGGUAGUGGGGGAUAGCCCGGGGAAACUCGGAUUAAUACCGCAUACGCCUUAAGGGGGAAAGCAGGGGAUCUUCGGACCUUGUGCUAUCAGAGGAGCCUGCGUUGGAUUAGCUAGUUGGUGGGGUAAAGGCCUACCAAGGCGACGAUCCAUAGCUGGUCUGAGAGGAUGAUCAGCCACACUGGGACUGAGACACGGCCCAGACUCCUACGGGAGGCAGCAGUGGGGAAUAUUGGACAAUGGGGGCAACCCUGAUCCAGCCAUGCCGCGUGUGUGAAGAAGGCCUUCGGGUUGUAAAGCACUUUAAGUGGGGAAAAAGGCUCGCUGGCUAAUAUCCAGCGGGAUUGAUACUACCCACAGAAUAAGCACCGGCUAACUCUGUGCCAGCAGCCGCGGUAAUACAGAGGGUGCAAGCGUUAAUCGGAAUUACUGGGCGUAAAGCGCGCGUAGGCGGCUGAUUAAGUCGGGUGUGAAAGCCCCGGGCUCAACCUGGGAACUGCACUCGAUACUGAUCGGCUAGAGUAUGAGAGAGGGAGGUAGAAUUCCACGUGUAGCGGUGAAAUGCGUAGAUAUGUGGAGG
rnacentral:rRNA from 1 species